UCACAAAUGAGUAUAGUGCAAUGGAUAUUGCCGGAGUUGAGUCUGUGCAAACUUGAGAAUUGUGAGAGGUGAAGAAGCCAUACAGACAGGGAAAAUGGAGAAAAAUCUGACAAAUGGAAAAGAAGUGCAUACCAAUGAACCAUGAAUAAGCUGAUGAGUUUCUCUCUCCAUCCCCGGUUGUGACAUUGAGAAGAAAAAUGUGUUCACGGUUUGCAGUCAAGUUUUUCAGUACUAUAAUAUCAGUUGGACAAGCAGGUACGGGACUCAAUUUUUGUACACUCACACGUGUAUGCUCAACGGUCACCUCUCAACCCAAGCACAGCGAAAAGGGGAAUGAUACCUCGCAGUGAAUAGAACAACCAUUCUUUUUACAUGCAUUGGAACCAUCCAACCUCUCAAGUGAGUACCGGAAAAUGGCGGUAGAGAAUCUUGA